rnacentral:rRNA from 1 species
GACAGAGGUCCCGAGCGUUAGGCGGAAUCACUGGGCUUAAAGCGUGUGUAGGUGGAUGCCUAAGUACCUUGUGAAAUCCCACGGCUUAACCGUGGAACUGCUUGGUAUACUGGGUGUCUUGAGUCACUCAGGGGCGAGCGGAACAAAUGGUGGAGCGGUGAAAUGCGUAGAUAUCAUUUGGAACGCCAAUGGUGAAAACAGCUCGCUGGGGGUGCACUGACACUGAGACACGAAAGCCAGGGGAGCGAACGGG